UACGUAGGGGGCAAGCGUUGUCCGGAAUCAUUGGGCGUAAAGAGCGUGUAGGCGGCCAGAUAAGUCCGCUGUGAAAUCUCGAGGCUCAACUUCGAGCUGUCGGUGGAAACUGUCUGGCUAGAGUCCGGAAGAGGCGAGAAUGGAAUUCCUGGUGUAGCGGUGAAAUGCGCAGAUAUCAGGAAGAACACCCGUGGCGAAGGCGGUUCUCUGGGACGGUACUGACGCUGAGGCGACGAAGCUAGGGAGCAAACAGG
rnacentral:rRNA from 1 species